UACGUAGGUCCCGAGCGUUGUCCGGAUUUAUUGGGCGUAAAGCGAGCGCAGGUGGUUCAUUAAGUCUGGUGUAAAAGGCAGUGGCUCAACCAUUGUAUGCAUUGGAAACUGGUAGACUUGAGUGCAGGAGAGGAGAGUGGAAUUCCAUGUGUAGCGGUGAAACGCGUAGAUAUAUGGAGGAACACCGGUGGCGAAAGCGGCUCUCUGGCCUGUAACUGACGCUGAGGUUCGAAAGCGUGGGGAGCAAACAGG
rnacentral:rRNA from 1 species